CUGGUUUCACAUGGUGGCUUAGAUU
rnacentral:ncRNA from 3 species